AGGAUAAUAGUUAAAUUUAACAUUUAAGUUGCAUUUAAAAAAUAUUGAUAUUAUCAAUUUAUCUU
rnacentral:tRNA from 1 species